ACGUGGGUAACCUACCUAUAAGACUGGGAUAACUUCGGGAAACCGGAGCUAAUACCGGAUAACAUUUGGAACCGCAUGGUUCUAAAGUGAAAGAUGGUUUUGCUAUCACUUAUAGAUGGACCCGCGCCGUAUUAGCUAGUUGGUAAGGUAACGGCUUACCAAGGCAACGAUACGUAGCCGACCUGAGAGGGUGAUCGGCCACACUGGAACUGAGACACGGUCCAGACUCCUACGGGAGGCAGCAGUAGGGAAUCUUCCGCAAUGGGCGGAAGCCUGACGGAGCAACGCCGCGUGAGUGAUGAAGGGUUUCGGCUCGUAAAACUCUGUUAUUAGGGAAGAACAAAUGUGUAAGUAACUGUGCACGUCUUGACGGUACCUAAUCAGAAAGCCACGGCUA
rnacentral:rRNA from 1 species